UACGUAGGGGGCGAGCGUUGUCCGGAGUUACUGGGCGUAAAGGGUGCGUAGGCGGUCUGAUAAGUCAUCUGUGAAAUCUAUGGGCUCAACCCAUAGUCUGCAGGCGAAACUGUCGGGCUUGAGUAUGGGAGAGGUGAGUGGAAUUUCCGGUGUAGCGGUGAAAUGCGUAGAUAUCGGAAGGAACACCUGUGGCGAAAGCGGCUCACUGGACCAUUACUGACGCUGAUGCACGAAAGCUAGGGGAGCAAACAGG
rnacentral:rRNA from 1 species